UACGUAGGGGGCGAGCGUUGUCCGGAAUUAUUGGGCGUAAAGAGCUCGUAGGCGGUUCGGCAAGUCACGUGUGAAAUCUCCACGCUCAACGUGGAGGCGCCACGUGAGACUGCCGUGACUCGAGUCCGGUAGGGGAGCGUGGAAUUCCCGGUGUAGCGGUGAAAUGCGCAGAUAUCGGGAAGAACACCCGUGGCGAAGGCGGCUCUCUGGGACGGUACUGACGCUGAGGUGACGAAAGCGGUGGGGAGCAAACAGG
rnacentral:rRNA from 1 species